CGUCUGGACCGAGCCCUUGCCGAAACUCUUGGUGCCGACAACGAUUGCGCGGCGGUGAUCCUGCAACGCACCGGCGACGAUUUCCGACGCCGAGGCCGAACCGCCGUUGAUCAGCACGACCAGCGGCUUGCCCUCAAUCAGAUCGCCCUCGUUUGCGUUGAACCGGCCACUGUCUUGCGGGUCACGGCCACGGGUCGACACGAUUUCACCGGCAUCAAGGAAGGCAUCGGACACCGCAAUCGCUUGGUUCAACAAACCACCCGGGUUGUUGCGC
rnacentral:ncRNA from 1 species